GACGAACGCUGGCGGCGUGCCUAAUACAUGCAAGUUGAGCGAUGAAGAUUGGUGCUUGCACCAAUUUGAAGAGCAGCGAACGGGUGAGUAACGCGUGGGGAAUCUGCCUUUGAGCGGGGGACAACAUUUGGAAACGAAUGCUAAUACCGCAUAACAACUUUAAACAUAAGUUUUAAGUUUGAAAGAUGCAAUUGCAUCACUCAAAGAUGAUCCCGCGUUGUAUUAGCUAGUUGGUGAGGUAAAGGCUCACCAAGGCGAUGAUACAUAGCCGACCUGAGAGGGUGAUCGGCCAAAGUGGGACUGAGACACGGCCCAAACUCCUACGGGAGGCAGCAGUAGGGAAUCUUCGGCAAUGGACGAAAGUCUGACCGAGCAACGCCGCGUGAGUGAAGAAGGUUUUCGGAUCGUAAAACUCUGUUGGUAGAGAAGAACGUUGGUGAGAGUGGAAAGCUCAUCAAGUGACGGUAACUACCCAGAAAGGGACGGCUAACUACGUG
rnacentral:rRNA from 1 species